CAGCUCUCCAAAUUUCUUAGAAGCCCCUUUGCUCCUCCUGCCUCUUCAAGCAAGAGCAACAGAUGUUUCCUGUCUGUUUAUUUGUGGAAGGCAGCGAGCAUUGGAGCAGAAAUGGUCAAAACUUUGUUCUGUCCUGCUUAUGAGUGAGAUAGUGUGAAAAAACAAACUAAGGACUCUGCUCUUGAAUGUUGAACACAUAAAAAGGAGGCAGAGUUAACUGGCCUGAUGUCACUGCAAGGGACCUUUACAUCUGAGAAUGUUAAGUGUGUGCAGACAAUUUGUGCAUAGCAGAGAAGUGAAAUGUGAACCUGCAAUCCCAAGACUUCAAAACCAGGCUGAGAUACAGCUACUGUAUUUGAUGAUUAUCAGAUUAAUAUUUCUUGGAGCAUGAAAGUUUUGCACAUUUUGAGGAAGAAAAAGGUAACUAAAGGGUCCAAGACUAAUUACAAACAAGCACUUGAGUGAGGAGAACUUACUUUCCUGAUUCUCUUCAGCCAGGCCUCAUCACAGAGUUGCAUAAAGUCCAUUAAAUGAAGUUCCUUGGGAAAAAUGAAGAUAUGGAGGAAGACAAGUACUUAGUAAGGGGAGGUAAGAGUUAAGGCCUGGGACCACAGAACAGCUGGAAUAUGUUAGUUUUACAGGAAGGCAGCCUGGA